rnacentral:rRNA from 1 species
GCAAGUCGAGCGGAAACGAGAAGUAGCUUGCUACUUCGGCGUCGAGCGGCGGACGGGUGAGUAAUGCAUAGAAAUCUGCCCAGUUGAGGGGGAUAACCACUGGAAACGGUGGCUAAUACCGCAUAAGCCCUUCGGGGGAAAGAGGGGGACCUUCGGGCCUCUUGCGAUUGGAUGAGUCUAUGUGAGAUUAGCUAGUUGGUGGGGUAAGAGCUCACCAAGGCGACGAUCAGUAGCUGGUUUGAGAGAAUGACC